rnacentral:misc_RNA from 1 species
GAUGAAGAACGUAGCGAAAUGCGAUAAGUAAUGUGAAUUGCAGAAUUCAGUGAAUCAUCGAAUCUUUGAACGCGCAUUGCGCCCAUUAGUAUUCUAGUGGGCAUGCCUGUUCGAGCGUCAUUAAGUCCACUUAAGCCCUGCUUAGUGUUGGGAGACUGCUCCAGCGGUGCUACCCUGUAGCUACCCUGCAGCUCCUCAAAGACAGCGGCGGAGUUGUGGUAUCCUCUGAGCUUAGUAACUUGUUCUAGCUUUCGAGUACACCACUUCCCCUGCCGUAAAACCCUUAAUUUUUAAUGGUUGACCUCGGAUCAGGUAGGAAUACCCGCUGAACUUAAGCAUAUCAAUAAGCGGAGGA